GUGGAGAUUUAUGAACAUCAAGGCACUACUAUUUGUGUGUAUUGCUUUAGUAUAUAAAUCAUACAAAAGUGCAAGGGGUAUAUCCACCCUAUUUACAUUAUACAUAUCAGAAAUACAUGCAUCAGAUAUACAUAUCUAAAAACUUGUUUUGUUGAUAUUUUUAAUGCCACCUGUUGAAGAUUUCAACUACACCGCUUUAAAUCAUCAAGCUGGUGGUCAUCACAACAAAAAGGGAGUUAGAUGCAUGCUAACAGAUGAUAAAGGUAAUGUUCUGAAAUCAAUUAAUGACUCUCAAAGCGGAAAGAAUGAAGAAAUUUUCUAUAAUAGAGUUUUCUCUGAUGAAUAUUUUAAUGAAUUUUGUCAGUUUUUGCCAAGAUUUUAUGGAGGAAAAACAGUUGUGGCAGAUCUAAAAUAUUCUUACUUGAAACUAGAAAAUCUUCUUGCAAACUUUGCUUAUCCUAAUAUAAUGGAUAUCAAAUUAGGUCGAGUUACCUAUGAUCCAUUUGCAUCAAUGGAAAAGAAAAUUAAAGAGGAAGGAAAGUUUAAUGCUCAAACAAAAAUUGGAUUUCGAAUAUCUGGGAUGAAGUUAUAUAAUGAAGAAUCAAACUGUUAUUAUUCAAUAGAUGGACGUGGUUUUCGUUCUUGUACUUGUUAUUCUACUGAUGAAGAUAAAGUAGCAGCUUAUUCAGAAAAUUCAAUUCACUUCAUAAAAAUGUGGUCAAAUUGUCUAAAAAUAUUACUUUGAAUAUGAAUGAACAAGCCAUGGAAGUGCACAUGUUUUCUGGGAAGUCUUGCUUUAAAGUGGUUGUCUUUAGCUACCAAAUUUAAUACAAGUUGAUGAAAAAACAUCUUUUAUAACAAUUUAACAACAAUUGACAGAUUUGAUAUGAAAUUUAUUCACAAUUUU
rnacentral:misc_RNA from 1 species